UUCCCAAAGGCCUUGAACCUAUCAUAGCCCCAUUGUCCAGAACAAUGAAGACAGGAUUGGACUGCCUCCGACGAUGGACUGGGUGAACUCCCAUGAUCCAGGAAAGCCUUCAGAAUUCAACGUUUAC
rnacentral:lncRNA from 1 species